rnacentral:lncRNA from 1 species
AUGUUUCACUUUCUUCUGAUCAAUGUACAAGUUUAUAUCUUUCUCUUCAGUAAUUUAAGGUGUCAGAGUGUGAAAUUGGAACUUCUUGAUGCAACUGAGGCUGAUAAGCUAUUGUCUUUCAGUCACUCAUCCAUUAGCUCUAUUUUAUUUAUUUAUUUGUGCAUGGGGGUUGUUUGCUUGAUGCUGUUCCUGUCGCUCUUUUUCUUCCACUUCUGAAGACGUCGAGGCCAAAUGCAAGAAGAGGGUUGUAACCCUGGGGAGACGUGUACUGCUGUGCAGAGUCACAUAAGAGAACUGUCUGGCACCACAUGGAAACAGAGGUUUGAUAUAUUUUUUUCCUCAAUACCCAUAUUGUUAGCUGGAGUCCAAAUGCAGAGCUCUGCUGGCAAAUGUAGCAAAUACAAAGAGUUUCAGCUACAGUAGGGAUUUUGCAGUCUUUUUAAGCUAAGCAAUUUGAAGUUAGUCAUUUCAUUUCUGACCACAAAUGAACAGUUGGCUGUUUUGAGGACAGUGUGGGCAGAGGGGCAAAACAUUGAGGCCAUACGGAGACUGAAUUGCUCUACUUCUUUAAUGCUUGCAACACUGUGUUGUACUGAAAGUAGGAGGAAACCAGCUGAGCAAGUCAUUCCAUGGCUGGAGGACUUCAGUCACCAGGACUAUCAAGCUGACAGUUUUAAAGAUACUGAGCUAUUAUUUUUGGUCUUUGGCAGCCUCUGUUUCACUCCGUCCUGUUCUGUCGCACAGUGACCCCAUGUGUUUUGUUGGCCACUGAGAUGAGGCAGAUGUGUUCCAAAGUGUGCUGACUCUGCUUCAGCACACAGCUCACAACCUGCGCUCCCAGAAGAGCAGUGAGUUUAGCCCUAACUGUGUCAGAGCAAAAAUAUCUGAUUUUCUGCAGCAUCAAUAACAGGAAUAUGACCAGAUGAAAGGCGGGUUUAGCAGGUGAAUUUCAGAUAGGAGAAUGUUAACUGGGUUUACAGCAGUAAGGUUUUAAAUGAGGGUGGACGAAUACAGGAGCUACAAAAUCCACAUAAAGAUACAUUAUUUGAAGCAUUUCUGUCUCACAUCUUCUCAAUGGGUUUACAGUAUAUUUUACUGUUAAACUCAAAAUGUUAUGCUAAAUGGCAUUCUUAUUAUCUUGGCUUGGGUCUUAUUAAUGCUACUUAAGUUUGUCUCCUGGCAGUCACUGCAGUGUGAUUAGGUGACUGAUGUUUGUAUGUAUUCAUCUGCCAGUGCUUGGAAGGAAUCUGAUCUUCUGUGUGUGUUCUGGGUAAUAUAUGCAAGGAAUAACAGUUAUGCUGGUCUGAGUCUGGCUGUUUCUACUGCACUUGAGGCCCUGUGGCAACCCACACUGGUUUCCCACAAAGGUUAAUACAACACUGGUACCACACACCCUUCCUGGAAAGCAUUAAACACAGCAGAGUUCCACUUCUUCUGGAUCUUGCAGAUGUGAACUUAGAUAAUUUUUCAUCAUUAGGAACUACCAUCUCAAGCAAAUCAGGAAUUAAACCUAAUAGGACAAGGGACACUGUGUGCAGUAAGCCACAAAUGAUCAUGCUACUGUGUGUCUUAGCACAUAUAUUAUACUAAUGGCAAAAAAAAUAAUACUGUUAUAGAAUUCCUAUCACAGUAAAGUGCUAAUGUAGUUGUGGAAGGAAAAGGAGUAAUAAAUCCAUGGCUGGCAAGAGAUACGAAAGCA